CCUACGGGUGGCAGCAGUGGGGAAUAUUGCGCAAUGGGCGAAAGCCUGACGCAGCGACGCCGCGUGAGGGAUGAAGGCCUUCGGAUCGUAAACCUCUGUCAGCAGGGAAGAACGGUCACUGUGCUAAUCAGCAGUGAAUUGACGGUACCUGCAAAGGAAGCACCGGCUAACUCCGUGCCAGCAGCCGCGGUAAUACGGAGGGUGCGAGCGUUAAUCGGAAUUACUGGGCGUAAAGCGCUCGUAGGCGGUAUGUCAAGUCAAGUGUGAAAUCCCCGCGCUCAACUUGGGAACUGCCUUUGAAACUGGCAGACUGGAGUGUGUGAGAGGAGAGUGGAAUUCCAGGUGUAGGGGUGAAAUCCGUAGAUAUCUGGAGGAACAUCGGUGGCGAAGGCGACUAUCUGGCACAUAACUGACGCUGAGGAGCGAAAGCGUGGGUAGCAAACAGGAUUAGAUACCCCAGUAGUC
rnacentral:rRNA from 1 species